UUCUGUCAACAGAGCUGGCUGUAAAUAAUAAAAAUACAAAUAUUUCAGCAAAAUUUUAGUGAAAUCUAAAUUUUAAGUGCAAUUAAGGAGCGAUUAUUUGCAAAUUGUAUGCAAACUCUGAACUACAUUUCAGAGACAUUCCUCGUUAGAUUAAGUUAACUGAGACGUUGAAAGUAAAAGUUGCUCAUCAGCUGACAUGAAAUCGAUUGGACUGCAGCUUAAAGAUAAACGAUUCAACAAUACCACUGUGCUCGAAUUGCUGCGCGAACACAUUUGGGGCUGCAAGCGCGGACAGUUUGCUGAGAAAGAACGUAAAAUGCUUCUCAAAUGGUACAGACUAUUAGAGCGGCAGGAAAUUAAACUAGAGAAGACUAUAUACAAUAUGGAACGUGAAAUACAUAACUUGGAGAAUGGUUAACGCAGCAGUAUUUUUAUCGUAAUUUUACGUGUUGCAUAGUGUUAGAUCCUAAUGUGUAUUUUGUUUUAAAUUAUUUGUGUGUUAAUAAAAUUAUUAGAUAUAUUAUAGUAAUAAAUUAUUGUUGCCUUUUGAAGAUUGCAAAGUGAGUAGCUACAUAUGUAUGAAAUCCAAAGAGAGUAAA